UAGUGACAGAGAGAGGGAGGGAAGGGGUGACUGGUGACAGAGUGAGGGGAUGACUGGUGACAGAGUGAGGGGAUGACUGGUGACAGAGUGAGGGAGGUGGUCACCAGUCAUCCCCUCACUCUGUCACCAGUCACCCCUUCCUUCCUCUCACCCUGUCACU